rnacentral:rRNA from 1 species
CACGUAGGGCGCAAGCGUUGUCCGGAAUUAUUGGGCGUAAAGAGCUCGUAGGCGGUCUGUUGCGUCCGCUGUGAAAACUCGGGGCUUAACCCCGAGCCUGCAGUGGAUACGGGCAGACUAGAGGUAGGUAGGGGAGAAUGGAAUUCCCGGUGUAGCGGUGAAAUGCGCAGAUAUCGGGAGGAACACCGGUGGCGAAGGCGGUUCUCUGGGCCUUACCUGACGCUGAGGCGCGAAAGCUAGGGGAGCAAACGGG